rnacentral:rRNA from 1 species
UGAACGCUGGCGGCGUGCCUAACACAUUCAAGUCGAACGGAGUUAUUACGAAUGAAGUUUCGGAUGGAUUUUGUUUUCACUUAGUGGCGAACGGGUGAGUAACGCGUGAGAAACCUGCCUUUCAGUGGGGGACAACAGUUGGAAACGACUGCUAAUACCGCAUAACGUAUAUCGGGGGCAUCCCUGAUAUACCAAAGCUUUAUGUGCUGAAAGAUGGUCUCGCGUCUGAUUAGCUAGUUGGUGAGGUAACGGCCCACCAUGGCGACGAUCAGUAGCCGGUCUGAGAGGAAGGUCCCCCACAUUGGUACUGAGACACGGACCAAACUCCUACGGGAGGCAGCAGUGAGGAAUAUUGGUCAAUGGGCGAGAGCCUGAACCAGCCAAGUCGCGUGAAGGAUGAAGGAUCUAUGGUUUGUAAACUUCUUUUAUACGGGAAUAAAGUGUGGUACGUGUACCAUUUUGUAUGUACCGUAUGAAUAAGCAUCGGCUAACUCCGUG